GCGGCUAUGGUGUAACGGCAGCACACCGGGUUGUGGACCCGUGAGUCGCAGUUCGAAACUGCGUAGCCGCC
rnacentral:tRNA from 1 species